rnacentral:rRNA from 1 species
CGCGGCCUAUCAGCUUGUUGGUGAGGUAACGGCUCACCAAGGCGACGACGGGUAGCCGGCCUGAGAGGGUGACCGGCCACACUGGGACUGAGACACGGCCCAGACUCCUACGGGAGGCAGCAGUGGGGAAUAUUGCACAAUGGGCGCAAGCCUGAUGCAGCGACGCCGCGUGAGGGAUGACGGCCUUCGGGUUGUAAACCUCUGUUAGCAGGGAAGAAGAGAGAUUGACGGUACCUGCAGAGAAAGCGCCGGCUAACUACGUGCCAGCAGCCGCGGUAAUACGUAGGGCGCGAGCGUUGUCCGGAAUUAUUGGGCGUAAAGAGCUUGUAGGCGGUUUGUCGCGUCUGCUGUGAAAGGCCGGGGCUUAACUCCGUGUAUUGCAGUGGGUACGGGCAGACUAGAGUGCAGUAGGGGAGACUGGAAUUCCUGGUGUAGCGGUGGAAUGCGCAGAUAUCAGGAGGAACACCGAUGGCGAAGGCAGGUCUCUGGGCUGUAACUGACGCUGAGAAGCGAAAGCAUGGGGAGCGAACAGGAUUAGAUACCCUGGUAGUCCAUGCCGUAAACGUUGGGCACUAGGUGUGGGGGACAUUCCACGUUUUCCGCGCCGUAGCUAACGCAUUAAGUGCCCCGCCUGGGGAGUACGG